rnacentral:rRNA from 1 species
AACGAACGCUGGCGGCAGGCUUAACACAUGCAAGUCGAGCGCCCGCAAGGGAGCGGCAGACGGGUGAGUAACGCGUGGGAAUCUACCCAGUUCUACGGAAUAACCCAGGGAAACUUGGACUAAUACCGUAUACGCCCUACGGGGGAAAGAUUUAUCGGAAUUGGAUGAGCCCGCGUUGGAUUAGCUAGUUGGUGAGGUAAUGGCUCACCAAGGCGACGAUCCAUAGCUGGUCUGAGAGGAUGAUCAGCCACACUGGGACUGAGACACGGCCCAGACUCCUACGGGAGGCAGCAGUGGGGAAUAUUGGACAAUGGGCGCAAGCCUGAUCCAGCCAUGCCGCGUGAGUGAUGAAGGCCUUAGGGUUGUAAAGCUCUUUCAGUGGGGAAGAUAAUGACGGUACCCACAGAAGAAGCCCCGGCUAACUUCGUGCCAGCCGCCGCGGUAACAC